GUGGGGAAUCUUAGACAAUGGGGGAAACCCUGAUCUAGCCAUGCCGCGUGAGCGAUGAAGGCCUUAGGGUUGUAAAGCUCUUUCAGCUGGGAAGAUAAUGACGGUACCAGCAGAAGAAGCCCCGGCUAACUCCGUGCCAGCAGCCGCGGUAAUACGGAGGGGGCUAGCGUUGUUCGGAAUUACUGGGCGUAAAGCGCACGUAGGCGGACCAGAAAGUUGGAGGUGAAAUCCCAGGGCUCAACCUUGGAACUGCCUUCAAAACUCCUGGUCUGGAGUUCGAGAGAGGUGAGUGGAAUUCCGAGUGUAGAGGUGAAAUUCGUAGAUAUUCGGAGGAACACCAGUGGCGAAGGCGGCUCACUGGCUCGAUACUGACGCUGAGGUACGAAAGCUAGGGUAGCAAACAGGAUUAGAAACCCGAGUAGUCC
rnacentral:rRNA from 1 species